CCCCGCGCUACAACUAAUCAACAUGCCCCAGUCCCUCUCAUUCUCACACCCCACCAAAUCUUUCCUCCGCCCCCGCUCCUCCCAAUCCCGCCGCCGCCGAUGCCUCCUCCGCCCCCAAACGACGGCCAUACGGAGACCCAUGGAUAAAUAUUUCUUCGAGCUAUUCCACCCGCGUCCUCCUCUGCCUCUCCGCACCUCUCACCGCUUCGCGCCCCCUCCUCCUCCUCCCUCCUCCCCCCACUCGCGGUCGCCUCUCCCGAUAGAUCUGGUGCCAGGGUUCCGGCGCCGGCGAACGGGGGAGCGGAGACAUUCCGGGAGGGAGGGGUCGACGUGUGCCUGGUGGGCGGAGGGGAGGAUGGGGAAUCUGCGUGCCGACCUCGACGAGCAGAUCGAGCAGCUCCUGCAGUGCAAGCCCCUCGUCGAGCCCGAGGUCAGGGUGGAUUCCGGCGGAUAUACGGCCGACAGGCUGGAUGCAUUAGCUGUCGGCCUUCUCUUAAUUGAAAAGAACGAACCUUUGGUGCUGUACUAGGUUGCUAUCGAUUGAAUGUCUGAGCUGGUGCAUUCAUUCUAUGCGUGAAUUGUUUUGUUUGCUACUGAUUUCCAUGUACUGUACUAGAGUAUUCUGAAUGAUUGCUGGCAUAAUUGUGUGCACUGUUUGUAGGAAUUCUUGUAAGGUAGCAUAAGAGGCAUGCAUGAGGGAGAGGUUCUUAUAGCUGUUGAUAUAGUUGGUCUUGACCUGCAUUUUGGACCCUGACCAAUUGGACCAAAAUGCGUACUAAUUUUAGGUUAUUCUCGGUGCGUAGAAGAAUUUGCUAUCAGGUUGCUUGGUAAUGACUUAUCAUCACCUUAUAAACAUUUCUUUUGCGUUUAAUCCCGCCACUAAUGCCUCCUUGACCGCCGAUGUCUCGUCACGGCCGUGCUUAUGCGUAGGCGCCGCCAGCGCCGCAUGCAAGUUAGCCUGUCAGCAGCAAGGGCAACCUGCCCACGCUCUCUCCACUGGGAAUUUAAUCUUGCUAUACUGAAGUCCAACUCUUUGAUUAUGCCUUUUCAGUGUAGAUUCUUUCAUGUUAACUAGUUGGAGUAAGUUCUAAUUAGGUCACAGAUUUUGUACUAAAUAAAAAGUGUUGUUUAGAGACAGUGAUGGUUAAGGGAAAAAUCAUUUAUUUUACAUUUUAUACCACAAGUACUUAGCGUGCAUUUUCUACUCUGAGAUUAAUUACACAAGCUACAUCAUAAUACAAUGGAAGGUGUUUUUCUAUCCAAUAGGUUGUAGCUAGUAAGCAUAGAGUAAAAUAACAGCUGAAGAUUUUCUUAUGCAAUUUAGGAGUGGAAAGAAACAAAUAGCUGAUUUGCAGUGAUUAAUUCACUACUUCAGAGUUAAUUAGUGUUUCGGUAUAGUUUCUUUUGUUAUGAAGUAGCUUAUAUAUAAUUGAAGUGAUUAUGCUUUUAUGGAUGGAUGCUCGUAGGUUUUAAAGGACUGAAAUUCUGUCAAUGUAUACCACUAAAAUCUUCUAAAUGAAUAUUACUUCAUUUCUUGUAACUGAAUAUUUCUUCAGCUUUGGGGUAUAAUUUUUCUGCAAUGAGCAGAUUUAGACGGCACUUAGAAGGCGCCACUGGGUUCUACAAGAGCGAGAUGGGCGGUUCGUCCGAGCCCGAGUCGCAUGGGACAUCCGACUGCCCGCGCGGGGGAGGGGGGUCCAGCAGCAAGUGCACCCGCGCCGCCGAGGUGCACAACCUCUCCGAGAGGGUGGUGGCCCGGUUCCCCGUCGUCAACCAUUUUCCCCUGAGUUUCACACCGCUUUUCUGCUCUUCUCGCCCUAUUUUCUUGGCUGAUCAUUGCUUGCUUGCUUGCUUGAUUGGGGUGAAGCGGCGGAGGAGCAGGAUUAACGAGAAGAUGAAGGCAUUGCAGAUCCUGAUACCCAAUUCCAACAAGACUGACAAGGCAUCCAUGCUUGACGAGGCCAUACUCAUUGAGUAUCUGAAGCAACUGCGGCUCCAAGUACAUGUCAGUAAAUGCAUGUCUCAAUGGCUGGUUGAUGUAGAGACUAACUUGCUAGUGCAUUUAUUUUAACUGAUGGUCCAAACUGCAAACAUUGAUGCAAAAGUUUUAAUGUGGGUGUUUUCUUUAUUGAUUCUUUAUCCUAUCCAUAGUGAAGUAAAGCCGGGAAAUUUUCCACACAGCAAAGCAGUGGCUACUUUCUGUUCUGUCCAGUGUUUUCUAGCCAUAUCUUAUAGAACUUUUGAUUUCCUUGGAUUCACAAUGGGAUUUAUAAUGCUGAUCAAAAUGUUGAUAUGUUAGGACUAGUUUCCUAGUGCAAAUGCAAUUCGGCAAAUCCACUAUAACUCACACAAAUUGCCCUAUUUUAAGUGUAACUGUAAGUGGUUUUCACUGCAAUUUGUCAACGAAAAUUAUAGUUUCUUUUAGUGUGAACAGUUUUUACUAUAAAUCUUUUACUAAUUUACUGUGAAUCUGCUUCUAAUGCAAUGUAUCUCUAUUUCUAAUGAACUGUAAAUCUACUGCAAAAUCAUUGUAAAAACUCACUAUAAUUCCACUAGGUAAAGGGUGUUCUUUAUCAUGCUUUUCAUGUCUAUGUUCAUCCAACAACCCAUACUCUUUUUCUAUUCUGGUUUCUUAUUUUUCUUGCAAAGGUACAGUAACUUCCCCUCUCUUUUCGUGCAAAUGAUAAGAAGUUGAGGGGACCUGUUUCUCACAGGAGGGAGUAGGUUGAGACCUCACUAUCUACUUCAACCAAAAGAUUUGAAGAGUUGCAAAAGGAUAAUGAGAUGUUGAAGAGGCAGAGUGAAUCCAUGACACUGCAGUGCAGUUGCACCGUUCCGUUGAAUAUUACUCAGGAAUAAGGACAUUUCACUAGCAGAUUAUCUCUAUUUUUCCUUUUCAUUUUUCUUUAUUAUUGGAGUGAGAACAGGUAGAAUGAGGAAGUGUGUAAUAGUAGACACGACAACUAUGUGAUGGUAGAAUAAGAAUAAGGACAUUUCCAUCGCUAUUGUGUUUUCGGAAUUGUAUGCAUAAAAUGGAAUUGAUUGAUUUUUUUAA